ACCGCCUCUCUACCAAACACUUGCAAGUUCUGUUUAUUGCAAGUGCAUGGAAGAGGCGAAUAGAAAACGGAAUGAUGUCCACUCCUUCGAUUAUCGUUCAUUGGAUUGCGGGCACUUUACCUCGUUCGACAUUU
rnacentral:snoRNA from 15 species